rnacentral:rRNA from 1 species
AUUAGUAUUUCAGCAGCUGUUAAAACCCAGCGCCAACAUGUUUCCGGUGAAAAGCCUAAGGCAGUCCUGGCCCGAGCUCCCCGCCCGAUGUGCACCGGGCCUCGAGGCGGGACCCUCUUGUAUGUCCCCCACUGCCGAGGGGCGUGUUCACCGUGCGGGUGCGUCGUCAAGCCUGAUGCCGCGCCGCGGCGGAGCUCCAGCGCCGUAGGCCCUCGCGCCAGGCGGCGAUUGCCCUCCGCUCAGGCCUGCAGCGUCAGGCGGCGCCCGAACCACACUCUCCGCGUACCCGACCCUGUUGCUUCCCCGGGGAGAUCCCCGGGGGAGGUCCCCGAGCACACCAUGCCGCCCAACCCACCCGCGCCCCAUCCGUCUGAAGGCCAGCGCGCCAAUCAAGAGGGAGAAUCAGACAGGAAAAGAAAAAACUUUCAACAACGGAUCUCUUGGCUCCCGCAUCGAUGAAGAACGCAGCGAAAUGCGAUAAGUAAUGUGAAUUGCAGAAUUCAGUGAAUCAUCGAAUCUUUGAACGCACAUUGCGCCCCCCGGCAUUCCGGGGAGCAUGCCUGUUCGAGCGUCUCGGGGAAUACUCCUCACGCCGGUGGAGGCGUGGUCAUGGCUGCGGUGGCGGGCCCGAGCGGGCGGCCACCGCGCUGGAAUCCAUGGGCGGACGCCUGCUGCGUGGCCGAGCGUGAUAUGACGCAUUGGCGCUUGCGCGCGGCGAGGCUGCCGGCCCUGGCCCUCUUGUCGGGCGGGGAGAGCAACACAUGGGAACUCCUCGAAUCAGGUAGGGAUACCCGCUGAACUUAACAUUA